rfam:Populus trichocarpa scaffold_526_contig_1, whole genome shotgun sequence.
GUCAUUGGACGAUACAAUCACUUGUAUUCUUGCUGGACUUGGGCAUGAUUAUGACUCAUUAGCCACCACUAUUACAGCUCGACAGGAUUCAGUUACGUUGGAGGAAUUGUACUCAUUACUGCUGAUUAUUGAUU